CUCGACGGACAUCUUUGAAGAGAAAAUCGAAAAGGACUUAACGGAGACGAACCAAAAUCACCAUAAUUCUCCAAAUCCAUUAACUUCUCUUCACUGAUUUCAGUGUUAACUCUGCUAUUAAUACACGAACAUCUUCAAGAAGCAGAGCAGCUGUUGUUGCAGGUACAUUAAGAACAAAUUUCUCAAUUUCCGGGCUCUUCGCCGGCGCCGGCGAAGAUAAACACAAAGGGGAUUUUCUUAACUCCGGUGAUUCUCCAAAAGAGAAAAAACAAG
rnacentral:lncRNA from 1 species